GAAAAUGUUUGUUUACUGGCUAAAUCGAAUGCUGCCUAUCCCCUCGAGGUAAGUAGGCGUCAUAAUUAUACCGUUUAUAAUAAUACAUCAAUUACAGCAAGGCAAAAUAGUAGUCGACAGGUGUACACAUAAUUAUAUGAAUUAAUGUAUGAUUGACAUAAUUAAUUCACAUAUUAUGUAGCCACUUAUUAUGUCAAUCUUAAUUUAAUGUACGCAGUUUGUCAACUGACAUAAUUAGGGUAAAACCGGGAUAGAUGCCGCGCUAGGAUAGAUGCCUCGUUUCUAAAAACUCAACUACGGGAGAAGGAAACAACAAAUUCGUUGUUUAAAUACGUGCUACAUGCACCCCCCAACUCAGGGACGCGCGAGUUGUUGUGCUAGACUGACAUUUCUCGCUUGUGUGUCGCAGUACAUUCGCAGCGGACGCGACGAAGGCUUCAAAAUUUCAAACACCUGAACGUAACACCACCCAAUAUGCCAUCAACUUCAUUCAACCGAAACUCACCAAGCCUUUUGAUCGAUCCUCAGAUUUUAGAAGAUACUCUUAUUGAUAUUGUUGAUAUAGGUGAUGAUUCACUAAUAAGGAAGGAACAAAUAUAAAAAAAUUAAAAUAAGAAAGGAAACCCAAAGAAAAACUAUGACUCCUUACAAAUACCCUAACUGACCCUUACAAAUAUGUUGAUUUUUUUAAAUGUUUAAAUAAUUACUAAGAUUAAAUGAAAAUAUUAUCUUUAUUUUGUAAGAGAUGAAUAUAUUUUUUUUUAAAUGUUAAAUAAUUAUUUCUACGUUGAAACGGGAAUGUUUCGUUUGAGAUGAUAAUUUUAAUAUAUGUUAUCGCUUAAACAGAUUUUUUUUUGUAUUUUUUGUUAAAGACAUGCAUAAAUAUAAUUAUGGUGAAGCAUUUUAUAUGAAGAUAAUAAAUAAAUAUUACAUUGUGAUUACGUA